CGCGUAGGCGGUUUGAUCAGUCGGAUGUGAAAGCCCCGGGCUCAACCUGGGAACUGCAUUCGAUACUGUCAAACUAGAGUAUGGUAGAGGGAAGUGGAAUUCCAGGUGUAGCGGUGAAAUGCGUAGAUAUCUGGAGGAACAUCAGUGGCGAAGGCGACUUCCUGGACCAAUACUGACGCUGAGGUGCGAAAGCGUGGGGAGCAAACA
rnacentral:rRNA from 1 species